UCAUACUUGAAGUCGGCACAAUUCCAC
rnacentral:piRNA from 2 species